rnacentral:rRNA from 1 species
UUGCCAGCCCGCUCAGAAACUCAAAUGAAUUGACGGGGGCCCCGGCACAAGCGGUGGAGUAUGUGGUUAAUUCGAUGCAACGCGAAGAACCUUACCUGGUCUUGACAUCCCGGAGACCCUUAGGAAACUAGGGGGUGCUUCCAUCUGGAAGAAUCUGGAGACAGGUGCUGCAUGGCUGUCGUCAGCUCGUGUCGUGAGAUGUUGGGUUAAGUCCCGCAACGAGCGCAACCCUUGCCUUUAGUUGCCAGCAGUUCGGCUGGGCACUCUAAAGGGACUGCCGGUGUUAAACCGGAGGAAGGUGGGGAUGACGUCAAGUCCUCAUGGCCUUUAUGACCAGGGCUACACACGUACUACAAUGGCCGAUACAAAGGGCAGCGACACUGCGAGGUGAAGCCAAUCCCGUAAAAUCGGUCUCAGUCCGGAUUGGAGUCUGCAACUCGACUCCAUGAAGUUGGAAUCGCUAGUAAUCGUGGAUCAGCAUGCCACGGUGAAUACGUUCCCGGGCCUU